AUGAAGACUAGAACAAAAGAUUUAACAUUUUAACUUAUUUAUUUAAUAUAAAUAUUAAACUUUUCCUAAAUGUAAAAAGACAUUUAUUAUUUAGAAAGACGACAAGACCCUAUUGAACUUAACUUAAGUUUAACUGGGGCAGUUAAUUAAUCAAAAUUUAAUAUUAAAAUAUUAAUAGAAUAAUCUAUUACAAUUAAUUUACCAAGUUACCAUAGGGAUAACAGCGCAAUUAUAUUUUUAGAGUUCUUAUCUAAAAAAUAGAUUACGACCUCGAUGUUGAAUUAAUAACCUAAAUUAAGCAAACUUAAAGAAAGGAAGUCUGUUCGACUUUUAAAAAAUUACAUGAUUUGAGUUCAGACCGGUAUAAGCCAGGUCGGUUUCUAUCUUCUAUUAAAAUAUUUUACAGUACGAAAGGACCUAUAAUAAUAUAUUAUAUUAUAUUGGCAGAAUAUUGCAUUAGAAUUAGAAUCUAAUCAAACU
rnacentral:rRNA from 1 species